GCACUGCUGACGAGUCUCAAAGUAGGACGAAACGGCCGUCCAGUGC
rnacentral:hammerhead_ribozyme from 1 species